rfam:Sus scrofa isolate TJ Tabasco breed Duroc chromosome 9, whole genome shotgun sequence.
UCCCUGGUGGCCUAGCAGGUAAGGACUCAGCAUUGUCACUGCUGUGGCUUGGGUUCCAUCCCUGGCCCAGGAA